ACUCGAGUGGCGAACGGGUGAGUAACACGUGGGUGAUCUGCCCUGCACUUCGGGAUAAGCCUGGGAAACUGGGUCUAAUACCGGAUAGGAGCCAUUUUUAGUGUGAUGGUUGGAAAGUUUUUUCGGUGUAGGAUGAGCUCGCGGCCUAUCAGCUUGUUGGUGGGGUAAUGGCCUACCAAGGCGGCGGCGGGUAGCCGGCCUGAGAGGGUGGACGGCCACAUUGGGACUGAGAUACGGCCCAG
rnacentral:rRNA from 1 species